UACAGAGGUCCCAAGCGUUGUUCGGAUUCACUGGGCGUAAAGGGUGCGCAGGCGGCCGUGUGUGUGAGGCGUGAAAGCCCGGGGCUUAACCCCGGAAUUGCACCUCAAACUACACGGCUAGAGCAUUGGAGAGGGUAGCGGAAUUCACGGUGUAGCAGUGAAAUGCGUAGAUAUCGUGAGGAACACCAGAGGCGAAGGCGGCUACCUGGACAAUUGCUGACGCUCAGGCACGAAAGCGUGGGGAGCAAAAGGG
rnacentral:rRNA from 1 species